rnacentral:lncRNA from 1 species
AGUAGUAGGUAGAUUGUGAUGGAUUGAUUGCUGAUUGUAUUGAGACAGAGUUUCUUGAGAAAUUGCUUCUAGUUGCUAUUCUGUGAUACAUUGAAUUGGAGGUGAAAGUACUACUGGUAUGCCUCCAAGGAAAAAUAGUGAAGACAUAGAGUUAUUUUGUGCUCUCUGAUUCAUCAUUUUUUACAAAAUUUUUGGAUAAAUACCCU